CUUGAGUGGAGUCUACUAGAGCAAUUUCUGUUGCUAGAUCUAAGCCCUGUGGUAGUUGAUUGGAUAAAUAAAGGUCACCUCUAAUAUAAUCCACAGACCAAUCGUGUUUAAAAGAGUGGUGGAAUGGCACAGCUACCUUAUGACACCUCUUCCUCGGAGAAGAAAAAUUUCCUCCUCCACCCCCACAUUCCUCUUUCUUGGAGAAAAACAAGGGUAUUUUUGUCUGUUUCUUCUUUUUCUUUUUUGGGGAGGCUGUGCCUGUAAGAAUAGUAAUCCCUAGCUCCUUGGUUGCAUGUCGUGUAAGUACCAUAAUUAUUGGAGCAUAGGUUGAUAAAAAGAAGGAUAAGUUUCAGCAGGAUUUGAAGCAGCUGCAAUCUACACAGCUUAAAGUAUCCGUUUUGAUAUAGCUAUGCCUUAUUUACUUUUCAUUUGCCAGCGUUUCUCUCUCACAGCUUAUCUCUCCCACAGCUUUCUUCAUGAGUUGCUUUGGAAUUAACUCUGAGGUUCACAGAGAAAAGUGGACGAUAUUGAGCAGAAGUUCUCAUCCAAGGAGUAAUAUGCAAAUACAGAAUCUCAUUGUGUUCCAGGAAAUGGGGAAUAUGUGAUUCACCAGAUAUUUUUGGACUCUAACUCUCAUUACCUUGAUGAUUGGCCAUGCUGGCUAUGGCUGAUGACUUUGGAGUCAGUUGGAGUAUAUAUAUAUAACCAACCAAAGAGAUAGUAGCCCUUAGGAUACUCAAGGAAUCAUUUAAAUAAAAAGCCUUCUGAAAUAAA